CCUACGGGAGGCAGCAGUGAGGAAUAUUGGGCAAUGGACGAGAGUCUGAACCAGCCAAGUAGCGUGAAUGAUGACGGCUCUAGGGGUUGUAAACUUCUUUUAUAUGGGAAUAAACUGUUACACGUGUGGGAUUGUGUAUGUACCAUAUGAAUAAGGAUCGGCUAACUCCGUGCCAGCAGCCGCGGUAAUACGGAGGAUGCGAGCGUUAUCCGGAUUUAUUGGGUUGAAAGGGUGCGUAGGCGGGCUUUUAAGUCAGCGGUAAAAAUUCGGGGCUCAACCCCGUCCGGCCGUUGAAACUGGGGGCCUUGAGUGGGCGAGAAGAAGGCGGAAUGCGUGGUGUAGCGGUGAAAUGCAUAGAUAUCACGCAGAACCCCGAUUGCGAAGGCAGCCUUCUGGCGCCCUACUGACGCUGAGGCACGAAAGUGCGGGGAUCGAACAGGAUUAGAUACCCUUGUAGUC
rnacentral:rRNA from 1 species